UUGGGGGGGGGGGGGGGGAAACAGGGUGAAACACCCCUGUAACACUGGGAUAACUUCGGGAAACCGGAGCUAAUACCGGAUAAUAUUUUGAACCGCAUGGUUCAAAAGUGAAAAGACGGUCUUGCUGUCACUUAUAGAUGGAUCCGCGCUGCAUUAGCUAGUUGGUAAGGUAACGGCUUACCAAGGCAACGAUGCAUAGCCGACCUGAGAGGGUGAUCGGCCACACUGGAACUGAGACACGGUCCAGACUCCUACGGGAGGCAGCAGUAGGGAAUCUUCCGCAAUGGGCGAAAGCCUGACGGAGCAACGCCGCGUGAGUGAUGAAGGUCUUCGGAUCGUAAAACUCUGUUAUUAGGGAAGAACAUAUGUGUAAGUAACUGUGCACAUCUUGACGGUACCUAAUCAGAAAGCCACGGCUAACUACGUGCCAGCAGCCGCGGUAAUACGUAGGUGGCAAGCGUUAUCCGGAAUUAUUGGGCGUAAAGCGCGCGUAGGCGGUUUUUUAAGUCUGAUGUGAAAGCCCACGGCUCAACCGUGGAGGGUCAUUGGAAACUGGAAAACUUGAGUGCAGAAGAGGAAAGUGGAAUUCCAUGUGUAGCGGUGAAAUGCGCAGAGAUAUGGAGGAACACCAGUGGCGAAGGCGACUUUCUGGUCUGUAACUGACGCUGAUGUGCGAAAGCGUGGGGAUCAAACAGGAUUAGAUACCCUGGUAGUCCACGCCGUAAACGAUGAGUGCUAAGUGUUAGGGGGUUUCCGCCCCUUAGUGCUGCAGCUAACGCAUUAAGCACUCCGCCUGGGGAGUACGACCGCAAGGUUGAAACUCAAAGGAAUUGACGGGGACCCGCACAAGCGGUGGAGCAUGUGGUUUAAUUCGAAGCAACGCGAAGAACCUUACCAAAUCUUGACAUCCUUUGACAACUCUAGAGAUAGAGCCUUCCCCUUCGGGGGACAAAGUGACAGGUGGUGCAUGGUUGUCGUCAGCUCGUGUCGUGAGAUGUUGGGUUAAGUCCCGCAACGAGCGCAACCCUUAAGCUUAGUUGCCAUCAUUAAGUUGGGCACUCUAAGUUGACUGCCGGUGACAAACCGGAGGAAGGUGGGGAUGACGUCAAAUCAUCAUGCCCCUUAUGAUUUGGGCUACACACGUGCUACAAUGGACAAUACAAAGGGCAGCGAAACCGCGAGGUCAAGCAAAUCCCAUAAAGUUGUUCUCAGUUCGGAUUGUAGUCUGCAACUCGACUACAUGAAGCUGGAAUCGGUA
rnacentral:rRNA from 1 species